rnacentral:rRNA from 1 species
UUCCGGUUGAUCCUGCCGGAGGGAACCCCUAUCGGGUUCAGACUAAGCCAUGCGAGUCGGCUGGGGGCACUUGCCCCUGGCGGCGCACGGCUCAGUAAUACGCGGUCAACCUACCCUGGGGACUGGGAUAACCUCGGGAAACUGAGGCUAAUCCCGGAUGGGUGUAGGGUGCUGAAAUGCCCCUACGCCGAAAGUAGGCGGGAAAUGGACCGCUGAGGCCCCAGGAUGGGACCGCGGCCUAUCAGGUAGUAGGUGGGGUAACGGCCCACCUAGCCUACGACGGGUACGGGCCCUGAGAGGGGGAGCCCGGAGAUGGGCACUGAGACAAGGGUCUAGGCCCUAAGGGGCGCAGCAGGCGCGAAGAUUCCGCAAUGCCCGAAAGGGCGACGGAGUGAACCCGAGUGCCACCCGCUGAGGGUGGCUGUUCCCCUGUGUAAAAAGCAGGGGGUAGGAAGGGGAGGGCAAGGCUGGUGGCAGCCGCCGCGGUAAAACCAGCUCCCCGAGGGGUUCCCACGCAUACUGGGCCUAAAGCGUCCGUAGCCGGCCCUGUAAGUCCGCAGUUAAAUCCGCCCGUAGACAGGCGGGCUGCUGCGGAUACUGCAGGGCUAGGGAGCGGAAGAA